GGAUCUUCGCCACCGCCGUCAUUUGUGGGCGGAGAAAGGGCUGGAGAAAGGCGGGAAUCGCCCCUCGUCCCUCGCCGUGCGUUUCCCUGGACUUAAGGGCCGAAGGGACACCGGCGACUUGACCUCCUGAUUGCAGGGAGAGGCUCCUCCGUGCUCCUGAGAGGCCGAACACAGGGUCGCCAGCACAGCUUACUGCUCGGUGUCUCCUGAGCCACAGAGGAAGACGUGGCAGGAGCACCUGGUGCUAAUAUAUAUUCAUGUCUAUGGCAAUGCCGACCAUCUGGCUGGUCUGAACCAGGAUAAAAGUGAAGAAUUCCUCUGUGAAGACCCAGCUCUUUCUUUGGCUCCUUUUUUGAAGCCAUCUUUGCUCUGCUCUCCUCUGCUGCCCAGGCCUUGGUUUAGCCAAAAAACCAGCGUCUUGUAUCUGCUAAGAAGACCAUGACUACCAACAGGCCUGCGCUUGCCAAGAGUCACCACCAGCCUCUGACCCCUCAGAAAGCCAACCCCACUAAUUUACUGAUGCCCUAAGGGGAAGUCGGCCCCAGAAGAUAAGAAAAGGACCCUGAGGUCCAGAGAGCUUGGGUUCUAGAAUGCCUUUAAAUCUUACCUGAUGUUAAUUUUUCUCCAUCACCCCUAUGGGAGGUAUUCAUUCACAGAACAAAUGUUGAUACUGAAUGCCCACCGUAUGCUAGGUACAUUGUUCCCGAUAGGGACCAAGACAUAGUCAAUACCCUCCAGCCCAUGCCUUUCCAUCUAGUAGACUAUACAGGUGAUUGAGGGGGCAGUUAACAUACAUAAAGCUGAGAAUUCCCCUGAGAUAGUUCAGGGUGAACAUAUAGGAGGCU
rnacentral:lncRNA from 10 species